rnacentral:rRNA from 1 species
UACGGAGGAUGCGAGCGUUAUCCGGAUUUAUUGGGUUUAAAGGGUGCGUAGGCGGGCUUUUAAGUCAGCGGUAAAAAUUCGGGGCUCAACCCCGUCCGGCCGUUGAAACUGGGGGCCUUGAGUGGGCGAGAAGAAGGCGGAAUGCGUGGUGUAGCGGUGAAAUGCAUAUAUAUCACGCAGAACCCCGAUUGCGAAGGCAGCCUUCCGGCGCCCUACUGACGCUGAGGCACGAAAGUGCGGGGAUCGAACAGG